rnacentral:rRNA from 1 species
CCUACGGUGGGCUGCAGUGAGGAAUAUUGGUCAAUGGGCGAGAGCCUGAACCAGCCAAGUCGCGUGAGGGAAGACGGUCCUAUGGAUUGUAAACCUCUUUUGUCGGGGAGCAAAACGGCCUCGUGCGGCCACACGUUAGAGUACCCGCAGACAAAGCCUCGGCUAACUCCGUGCCAGCAGCCGCGGUAAUACGGAGGAUGCGAGCGUUAUCCGGAUUUAUUGGGUUUAAAGGGUGCGUAGGCGGACUGGAAAGUCAGCGGUAAAAUCGCGAGGCUCAACCUCUUUCCGCCGUUGAAACUGUCGGUCGUGAGUGGGCGAGAAGUAGGCGGAAUGCGUGGUGUAGCGGUGAAAUGCAUAGAUAUCACGCAGAACUCCGAUUGCGAAGGCAGCAUACCGGCGCCCGACUGACGCUGAGGCACGAAAGCGUGGGUAUCGAACAGGAUUAGAUACCCGGGUAGUC